rnacentral:misc_RNA from 1 species
CCCCACACACCAUCAUCGACAAUUACGCGCAUAUCCACUGUACGGCUCCCGGCCACCACACCCCCCCACACGGGGGCUGGUGCGCCACACAUGUGAGUCACAACAUCAUAUGAGUUCCGUCUGGAACACCCCAAGAUUCUGGU